rnacentral:rRNA from 1 species
GAGAGUUUGAUCCUGGCUCAGAGUGAACGCUGGCGGUAGGCCUAACACAUGCAAGUCGAACGGCAGCACAGGAGAGCUUGCUCUCUGGGUGGCGAGUGGCGGACGGGUGAGGAAUACAUCGGAAUCUACCUUUUCGUGGGGGAUAACGUAGGGAAACUUACGCUAAUACCGCAUACGACCUUAGGGUGAAAGCGGAGGACCUUCGGGCUUCGCGCGGAUAGAUGAGCCGAUGUCGGAUUAGCUUGUUGGCGGGGUAACGGCCCACCAAGGCGACGAUCCGUAGCUGGUCUGAGAGGAUGAUCAGCCACACUGGAACUGAGACACGGUCCAGACUCCUACGGGAGGCAGCAGUGGGGAAUAUUGGACAAUGGGCGCAAGCCUGAUCCAGCCAUACCGCGUGAGUGAAGAAGGCCCUCGGGUUGUAAAGCUCUUUUGUCCGGAAAGAAAAGCGCUCGGUUAAUACCCAAGCGUCAUGACGGUACCGGAAGAAUAAGCACCGGCUAACUUCGUG